rnacentral:rRNA from 1 species
UACAGGGGGUGCAAACGUUGCUCGGAAUCAUUGGGCGUAAAGCGCACGUAGGCGGUUCGUUAUGUCGGAUGUGAAAGCCCUUGGCUUAACCGAGGAAGUGCAUCCGAAACUGGCGAGCUAGAGUACGAAAGAGGAUCGCGGAAUUCCCGGUGUAGAGGUGAAAUUCGUAGAUAUCAGGAGGAACACCAGCGGCGAAGGCGGCGCUCUGGGCCGGUACUGACACUGAGGAGCGAAAGCGUGGGUAGCAAACAGG